rnacentral:rRNA from 1 species
UACGUAGGGCGCAAGCGUUAUCCGGAAUUAUUGGGCGUAAAGAGCUCGUAGGCGGUUUGUCGCGUCUGCCGUGAAAGUCCGGGGCUCAACUCCGGAUCUGCGGUGGGUACGGGCAGACUUGAGUGAUGUAGGGGAGACUGGAAUUCUUGGUGUAGCGGUGAAAUGCGCAGAUAUCAGGAGGAACACCGAUGGCGAAGGCAGGUCUCUGGGCAUUAACUGACGCUGAGGAGCGAAAGCAUGGGGAGCGAACAGG